ensembl:misc_RNA Metazoa_SRP Metazoan signal recognition particle RNA
GCCAGGUGUGGUGGCUGACACCUGUAAUCCCAGCACUUUGGGAGGCUGAGGUGGGCGGAUCACCUGAGGUCAGGAGCUCCAGACCAGCCUGGCCAACAUGGUGAUACCCCAUCUCUA